rnacentral:lncRNA from 1 species
GGCAGUUAAAAAUUAGAGACCAACUUUGUUUGGAAAGUCAAACAACUGAGCAGGUACUAUUUGGUUAGUGACAACAGAUAGAUUAAACUUAAAGAGCAUACAUUCUUCGACAGAGAUUCCAAAGGGAUGAAGAUAAGAGUUAGUGUGAGGUAACUCAAGUGUAGAUGGAUGUAACUGAAGAGCAUUGACAAGAAAUAGUUCAUCUAUGACAUAAGUUUGGCCUUGAAUACAGGUAGUGAUAGUCUUUAGUAUGCCAGAAGAAUCAUGUAGGAAGUCCAUGUGAGAAUAAAAUUCGGCCAUAAGGCCUGGAAAAACAGACUUCUCAGUAAAAGAUAUCAAAAAAUC